rnacentral:rRNA from 1 species
GUCGGUACAGGUACUGUAUAUUGUGCGUAAGCGCGCGCAGGUGGUUUCUUAAGUCUGAUGUGAAAGCCCUGGGCUUACCGGGGAAGGGCAUUGGAAACUGGGAGACUUGAGUGCGGAAGAGGAAAGUGGAAUUCCAUGUGUAGCGGUGAAAUGCGUAGAUAUAUGGGAGGAACACCAGUGGCGAAGGCGACUUUCUGGUCUGUAACUGACACUGAGGCGCGAAAGCGUGGGGAGCAAACAGGAUUAGAUACCCCCCGUAGUCCCA